rnacentral:lncRNA from 1 species
UAAGGAGCGAAGAGAUAAACAAACAUUACGAACAACUCUAGGCUCAAUCAUUAACCAUCACAAGCAAAGAGGCAAAAACUCACCUAGGGAGUAGAAAAUCUCUCUCAAGCUCCAAAAGAGAGCUAGAAUCCUUCCAAUCCAACCCAAAGGAAGAUUCUAAUCCAAUCAAUUAAGCUCAAAAGGCCCUAGAAUCAAAAUGCCCAAAAUCAACCCUAAAAUCACAUUCUAGGGUUUCAUCCCAAAGAAACCCUCAAAUCUCGAAAUCUAGAGGAAAGAACAAGUCACUUACCUCUAAAAAGCUUCAAUCCAAGCUCAAAAUCCUCUAGGUUCAAAGAUCUUCCCUCAACUAUGCUCCAAAUCCAAGCUCCAAGCUUCAACAAUGGUGGAAAGUUCACCAAAGCACCAAAAGAAGCAAAAAGAGGUGAUUAUUCCUCUAAUAAUCCAAGAAAUAGGGAAGGAAAUCAAAUGGAGAAGUCUCCUACCUCUUCCUCUGCUGGUGGAUGGCCCAGGGAGAGCCCUAGGGGCGUGGGGUGCUAUAUAGAAUAGCCACAAUUGCAAAAACACCCCUGCAGUUCAAACUGCUCAAAAUCUGCCAAAGUGUACCGGUACACGGGAAAGUGUACCGGUACAAAUCCUGCGAAAAUGCAAACCCGAGGCUCGGGUUUGAAAUUCGGCACAAGUGUACCGGUACAACCAUCAAGGUGUACCGGUACAAAAUAUGUACCGGUACAACCAUCGACAUGUCACCGGUUUCACCUUGUGCAGAAUGCAAUCCGAGGGUAGGCUAAGUCAAACUCUUUAGUGACCUUAGCGCUACAUAAAAUACUACAAUUCUCGGGAUGCGAGCCAUAGGUCGGAACACUGUCAACGACCCACCAGAAAGUCUGGAAAAACUCAGAACACAGUUCAAACACUCGAACCUCGCAAUUUGCAA